CCUACGGGACGCAGCAGUGGGGAAUAUUGCACAAUGGGGGAAACCCUGACGCAGCAACGCCGCGUGAGCGAUGAAGUCUUUCGGUAUGUAAAGCUCUAUCAGCAGGGAAGAUAAUGACGGUACCUGAAUAAGAAGCCCCGGCUAACUACGUGCCAGCAGCCGCGGUAAUACGUAGGGGGCAAGCGUUAUCCGGAUUCACUGGGCGUAAAGGGCGCGCAGACGGGCCGGCAAGCCAGAAGUCAAAUC
rnacentral:rRNA from 1 species